UUAGAUGUGAAGUUGAAAACAGAUAUCAGGGAAAUCCACUUAAAGGAACGUGCUACUAUACUCUUCUCAUCGACUAUCAGUUCACCUUCAGCCUUUCCCAGGAGGACGAUCGCUAUUACACAGCAAUCAACUUUGUAGCAACACCUGAAGAG